CAGCCGCCACGGGAAUACGUAGGGUGCGAGCGUUAAUCGGAAUUACUGGGCGUAAAGCGUGCGCAGGCGGUGAUGUAAGACAGUUGUGAAAUCCCCGGGCUCAACCUGGGAACUGCAUCUGUGACUGCAUCGCUGGAGUGCGGCAGAGGGGGAUGGAAUUCCGCGUGUAGCAGUGAAAUGCGUAGAUAUGCGGAGGAACACCGAUGGCGAAGGCAAUCCCCUGGGCCUGCACUGACGCUCAUGCACGAAAGCGUGGGGAGCAAACAGGAUUAGAUACCCCCGUAGUCCCUGUCUCUUAUAC
rnacentral:rRNA from 1 species